rnacentral:rRNA from 1 species
AUUGAACGCUGGCGGCAGGCCUAACACAUGCAAGUCGAGCGAGCGGCGGACGGGUGAGUAAUGUAUGGGGACUGCCCGAUAGAGGGGGAUAACUACUGGAAACGGUGGCUAAUACCGCAUACUAUCGGAUAACCCAUAUGGGAUUCGCUAUUAGGUGGGGUAAAGGCUCACCUAGGCGACGAUCUCUAGCUGGUCUGAGAGGAAGAUCAGCAACACUGUGACUGUGACAGGGCCCAGACUCAAACGGAGGCAGCAGUGGGGAAUAUUGAACAAUGGGCGCAAGCCUGAUGCAGCCAUGCCGCGUGUAUGAAAAAGUCCUUAGGGUUGUAAAGUACUUUCAGCGGGGAGGCGUUACCCGCAGAAGAAGCACCGGCUAACUCCGUGCAAGCAGCCGCGGUAAUUC